GCCAUAGAUGGCUGCAUUUCUCCAUCUAGCGUGGAGAUCAUGGACGUUGGGGGCAUCCCCCCAAAACUGAUUAUGAUCCACCCUGAUCUCCAUCCUAGACCAGGAAAGCGCCUGCCUUCUCUGGGCCCUGGCAGGCUCCUGGGAGCUGGCAGACUGUUCCUGGGGUGCAGUGGAGAGAUGUGAGCCAUUUUGCUGUUUUACUAAAGUCUCUCUGAAGAAGAUAACAAUUACAGUCAGAGUUGCUGUAAGUAGAUGUAAUUAUGUGUUCGUUUGUUUUCAAGGAUUUUGUAACUGACAAACAUUGCCUGGUCUUAAUAAGGAGUACAGCAAAAAGAACAAAGAAGUUGCACAGCUUCCCUUCCAGACUACCUCAGCUUCCUCCCCCAUACGUAUCACAAGAAGAAGUCAUGAGGCUCAUUUCAUCAGCUUCAAACUAAUUGUUGCAGCUACUUGUGAAAUCUCUUCAGAGGGAAUGAAGAAGCCAGACUGUGCCUCACACCAGAAAAGGAAAGAAGCUAAACAUAUUCAAAGAUUGGACUGUUGUGACAAGCAGCAUACACCUCCCCUUGUGAUCUCUGCAGAUCCCCAGGAAUAUGAAGAUAAGAGGCCCUGUGUUUUACAUUGUGACGGGCCGCCAACGGCCUGCAUGCCGGCCGGCCAGAAAGGGGGCGUGGGGAGACGCGCAGGGAGCCUGAGGGGCACAGCACUGCCACCAACCUGGAGCACAGUGGAGACCCUUCUCCCCGCUGGGGCAGCACCAAUGCCGUGAGCCUGGCCCCUGGCCGGACCGAGCAGAAGUGGCAGGCGGCUGCCCAGAAGUGAUGGGGGAAGACCCCGCAUCACGGAGUGGGCAGGGCUGCCAGUCAGCGUUGUGGCCAGCGGGCCGUCUCAAAAAGCCCUGCCAGCAUCAGAGACUGGGGAUGGCAGGGUGUCCCCGGAGGGAGAGCGGUGAGUCCCAAGCGAGGAACGUCGCCGGCGAGAGAGACCCCAGGAGAGGCGCUGGAGGACAGAGUGAGUGCCUGGCCCCUGGAACCGCAGUAGGCACUGGGGAGCUGGAGGUGCCACCCAGGGAUCAGUAUGGGGAAGGAAGCAGCCCGAGGCAGGGUACUUGUGGUGCCCAUGGGCUGACACGUUUCGGGAAUGCACCCCGUCAGCCAUGCAGAGAGCCCUGGGCUGGGACCCGGUGGAGAGGGAUGGCCCAGGUCUCCCUUCACACCCAUCCCUGCGAAGAGUGGACCAGGCGAAACCUGGGAGGGAGUACGAGGAUCUCAGGCAACUGGGGUAUGGAACCCCAGAACGGACUGCUGUAAGGGGGAUAAGUGGCAGUUGGGCUCACAGGGUCCCGGACCCGGACGGAGUGCUCGUGCCCAGGGGACUGCCACAGACAUACCUUAGUAUUUUAGUAGUAAAUGUCCACAUUUUCAUUUCUUUUAAAAAUGGUGAUCACUGGCUUGAUUCUGCUUUCAUUUUGAGCAAUCAACUUCCUUGAAACUAUGCCUGUUUACACUAGAUAAAGAGAGGAGAAGCAGGCUACGUAACAUUAAAUACAUGAUAUUAAACAUGUUAUACUUAGUAUAGGACCUAUCCAUAUGUGCUACAAAGCUGCGCAUGCCUGAUGUGAUCUCAUAUGCUGCCUGAGUGGGUAUAUUUAUAUAGCUUUUAGGAUGUACAGAAAUCAUUGGGAUUAUUAAAUUAUUCACUGAAUCAGGACAUUUAUUACCGGGGGAUCUUUCCCAUGAUGUAAGUUUAUCCCUCACUGUCCAAAUGGCCAUUUACUGAAAUACUGUCAGGUCCCCAAAUUAUUUGGCUAAAUUGUAUUUGUAUGCAGUUUGUGAUGUGUGUCAUCUAACCUGAGUCCUAUUUAGAAUUCACGCUCUUUUCUCUUUGACAGUGGCAGAGAAAUAUUUGAUCUGGCCUGAUCAAUUCGCAAUCACUACUUUUCAUCCUACUGUAAUUCCUAGUUAUAGUUAGAAACUGAAGUCAGUCUAGUCUGAUUACAUAAAAAUAAAAUCAUUAUAAUUAAAUGAGCUUUUGAUUUUAGGAAAACAAUUUUCUUAAUGGAAAGCGAAGAACCAAACUUGCCCUCCCAAACUCAAGGGAAGUUACUGUUCCUAUCUAGACACUGAGAAAUAAUUAACAGGCCAAAUUGCUUAUUUUUGUUAUGCUGUGUAUUACAGCUACCAUGCAGUGCAGUACAAGUUAGAAAACCUAAUAAUAGAAAGUCUUAUAUGUAAUGACUUUUCUGCCCUAAUAAAGGCAUUGACAGUCAAUGUAUAGUAAUAUAUAAGGAGAAGACUGUCUGAUAGUGAGAAUAGGCACAUAAGAAAAGACUGGAAAAAUAAUGAGCAAGGCUAUAAAUCUCAUUACGUACUGACAAGUCGUCUUGAUUUUAUUUUGAAGUAGUUAUUUUAUACUUCUCAUAGCACUGAUGUUUUCUGUUUUAAAAGUACACAGGAAACUAACACAUUAAAAGAAUCAAGUGCUAAUUUUAUCCAAGAAGAUUCAAGGAAUUAUUAUGGAAAAAGUAAGUUGCAUUCUUAAUAUACUUUUAAAUCCUUUUUACCAUGUCUUAUCAGACUAACCAAGUAAGCCAUUUGUAAAUGCACAGCCGACUCCUGGAUUUUUUUCAGGACUAAGUUAUUGUGGCGGUUGGUCUUAAAAGGAUGGUACAGUACUGAAAUUGUUUCUAAACACAACUGCAUGUUUGCAAAUGAUUAAGUUUUCCAGGUGUUCUUUUUAUACCUUUACUGAUAAAAGAAUAACAUUGUAGGUACAGUGUUCUCAGAUAAACAGCAGAGGAAGAGAAACUGUCUUUUUUAUUUUGGAAUGUGUCUACACAGCAACUGGGAGCAUGCUUCCAACUGUGGAUAAACACACAGUCUCUGCUUGAGCUAGUGCACUACAAAAUGGCAGUGAAGCCAUGGUGGCAUGGGCAGCAACUUGGGUUAGCCAUUGAAGUACAACCCUGCCCAGCCUCCUGGGUACAUAUUCAGGUAUCUAGCUCUAGUUGUUGUUUAUACUGCUGUGACCACACUGCUAUUUUUAGAAUGCUUCCUUCACCAGAGUCAGUGUGUCUUACUAUUUCUGUAAAUGUCACCCAUGGACCACUAGUGGCAUGCGACAGUCUUGCAGGUGGUCCAUGAGUUCGUCCUGUGCAGCAGGGAGCCCGCACUGGCGUUCCAGCUCCUCCUCCCCAAGGUUAGUGCCAGCACGGGCUCUCUACUCAAGGAGGGGAGGGGGAAUCCUCAGCCUCACAGGGCAGAUCUAGCUCGCAGGCAGAAAGGGCUCCCCGCACUCCUGCUCCCCCCACCCAGCUAGGGGAAUAGCAGUGCAGGAAACAGCUCACUGGGAGGCUUUUCCUGCUGCUGCCAUUGGCCAGGAUUCUGGCCAAUUGUAACAGCAGAGAGCAGUGCCUGGGGGUGCAGAGGCAGGCCAGCCCCCCCAUCUCCCUCAUACCUAGAUGCCACACACUUCAUAUACCUCUCCUCCCACAAACCCCACAUCCCCAUUUGCUCCUACAUUCUCCCUUCUGACCAGACCA